rnacentral:lncRNA from 1 species
UUGGAAGCUCUUAAUUAUAAUGCAGCAACGAACAAAUUAUACCUAAUCAAUGCUAACAAGUUGCUUUAACAAAUUGUUCUCAAUUGACAAACUAAGGGGACAAAUAUAGAUCAUUAAGAUGGGGACGUAUCAAUUUAAUAAUUUUGUUACGAUAUGACAUGGGAAUACUGAAUUUAAGGAUUUCUAACAAAAUUUUCAGCUCAAACACGCAAUUUAAAGUAGAAGAGUUUUGGAAUGAAGUGCAUAAAAUUUUUAAGCUUUUGGACGACAAUAUGCGUUCCAUUACAAGAAAUCUUAAAGCAAAAAAAAUACAUAAAAGAGGAAUUUUAAUGUUUCUGCGCUAUCUUAUACUUGAUAUGGGAAUUAAGUUACGUAGUAAUUAUUUACUUCAUGCGUGUAAAAGAUUUGUUAAAAGCAUGUGCCAACCACAUAUUUCAUUGCGGUAUCUUUGUUCUGUCUUAAUAAUUGAUCUGUGUGUUUUCUGGUUCAUUGCCUUUCAUGGCGAUAUGUAACAUCAAUUGAAUCAUGCAGUGCAAAUAUGAUGUUUUUCCUAUUUGCAUUUUCCAGAGGAAUAUGAUGACGGACAGUUGUCUUUUAUAUUUUCUCUAAUUAAAGAAAAACAAGUAUAGCUUAAUUGUCCUUUUCUUCACUUUAAUCAUGUUCAUCAAGGUUAUGAAACAUGAAAUCAAGAGUUUAAAUUUAAACUUUUAGUUUUUCCUUCAUAAUUUUAAAAUGUCUAUAGUUAUUAGAGAUAAGAAUUUACUUUUACUUUUUGUAUUUGAAGCUUUCAAACAAUGAAACAUUAUCAAUAAAUUUAAAAGUCAAACAGCUACCAUAUGACUGUUGCCUCAUUUACCUUUGUUCUUAAAUGCAUCAAUGUGCAUAUUUUCCACAGAAAAUAAGCAAUCUUGAAUCUUGGCAAACAUUAUAGGACAGCUGAGGAACCUUCAUUUUGGAGUUUGGACCGAGCCUGAAAUGUAUCUUCUUCCUUUGCUCACAGCUACAAUGGGCUGAAACAUUCGAAUAUGACACAGCCUCUGAGGCUAAUAUUCCCAAGAACAUGGAGAAAAAAAAUUGGUGACAGCAGGUCUAAUUAUAGGCUGGUUGCCAUAGGAGCAAAACUCAGUAGCAGGGGAGAAUCUGGAAUUGCCCUGGGCAACAAAAAACGACAAUAAUCAGUUUCCCACAAUUUGAGGUCAUGGUUCCUUGAACAAGUUAAAAAACCCAGUAACAUUAAUUAGUUCUCUAAUUACAGUUUUUAACAAAUGUAAUUAAAAUAAAUUGAGUUUCUGAUCAAGCUUAAAUUGGAUUAAUGUUAGAAGCUGGGGCCACUAUAUAAUGCUCACAUGCGUGCAUGAUUAGAAUUUUUGGAACCGGGCUUUGCGCUUGAAACACAUGCAUAUGAUGAAAAACAAGAAAGGAAAGAAACAGAAGUUAAACAAAGAAGCUAAAUCUAUGUCAAUUUUGGUGUUUUCUUAGGUAAUGAGUUGUAAUAAUGAUGAUACUUGUACGAUUUGAUUGGUCUGCUGCUGAAAAAAAAAAAAUUAAGGGCGCCAUUGUCUGGUGCUAGUUUUGCUCAUGGGAAGUAGGUAAUAUCCCUAUAGUUUAGAUCUUGAAACAUGUUUUUUUUUUUUUUUUUCAUUUGUUUUAAAUUUCAUUGUUUGUUGCGUACAAAGUAACUAAAUUAAGAAAGAAAUAUGAUAUGUUUGGUGUUGAUGGUGUACGAUCAAAUCUUCACCUCACAUUUCUUCCUCAUUGGGACUCACAGGCACAGCCAAAAC